GUUACCUACGGGACGCAGCAGUGGGGAAUAUUGCACAAUGGGGGAAGCCCUGAUGCAGCGACGCCGCGUGGGCGACGAAGCGCUCCGGCGCGUAAAGCCCUGUCAGCAGGGAAGAACAAAGACAGUACCUGACCAAGAAGCCCCGGCUAACUACGUGCCAGCAGCCGCGGUAAUACGUAGGGGGCAAGCGUUAUCCGGAUUCACUGUGCGUAAAGGUAGCGCAGGCGGCACGGCA
rnacentral:rRNA from 1 species